CCUUCGGGUGCCGGCGAGUGCGAACGGGUGAGUAAUGUAUCGGAACGUACCUUUCAGUGGGGGAUAACGUAGCGAAAGUUACGCUAAUACCGCAUAUUCUGUGAGCAGGAAAGCAGGGGAUCGCAAGACCUUGCGCUGAUUGAGCGGCCGAUAUCAGAUUAGCUAGUUGGUGAGGUAAAGGCUCACCAAGGCGUCGAUCUGUAGCGGGUCUGAGAGGAUGAUCCGCCACACUGGAACUGAGACACGGUCCAGACUCCUACGGGAGGCAGCAGUGGGGAAUUUUGGACAAUGGGGGCAACCCUGAUCCAGCCAUGCCGCGUGAGUGAAGAAGGCCUUCGGGUUGUAAAGCUCUUUCGUCCGGGAAGAAAUCGCAUCAGCUAAUACCUGGUGUGGAUGACGGUA
rnacentral:rRNA from 1 species